GACGAACGCUGGCGGCGUGCCUAAUACAUGCAAGUCGAACGCAGUGGGGACGGGUGAUUAAAACGUGGGUAACCUCCCAUCAGAGGGGAUAACACUUGGAAACAGGUGCAAAACCGACACUGAUGGAUCAACCCGCGGUGCAUUAGCUAGUUGGUGAGGUAACGGCGCACCAAGGCCACGAUGCAUAGCCGACCUGAGAUGGGGACCGGCCACACUGGAACUGAGACACGGCCCAGACUCCUACGGGAGGCAGCAGUGGGGAAUCUUCGGCAAUGGGCGAAAGUCUGACCGAGCAACGCCGCGUGAGUGAAGAAGGUUUUCGGAUCGUAAAACUCUUUUGUUGGAGAAGCGGUAUCUAACCAGAAAGCCACGGCUAACUACGUGCCAGCAGCCGCGGUAAUAC
rnacentral:rRNA from 1 species